UCGAACGCGAAAGUCCCCUUCUGGGGGAUAAGUAGAGUGGCGCACGGGUGAGUAACACGUAGGUAAUCUACCUUCGGGUGGGGAAUAACCCAGGGAAACUUGGGCUAACACCGCAUAAUGCAGCGGCACCACAUGGUGACAGUUGUUAAAGCGGGGGAUCUUAGGACCUCGCGCCUGAAGAGGAGCCUGCGGCGGAUUAGCUAGUUGGUGAGGUAACGGCUCACCAAGGUGACGAUCCGUAGCCGGCCUGAGAGGGCGGUCGGCCACACUGACACUGACAUACGGGUCAGACUCCUACGGGAGGCAGCAGUCGGGAAUUUUGGGCAAUGGGCGAAAGCCUGACCCAGCAACGCCGCGUGAAGGAUGAAAUCCCUCGGGAUGUAAACUUCGCAAGAAUGGGAAGAAUUAGUAGGGGUCAAUACCCCCUAUGAUGACGGUACCAUUUGUAAGCUCCGGCUAACUCCGUGCCAGCAGCCGCGGUAAUACGGGGGGAGCAAGCGUUGUUCGGAUUUACUGGGCGUAAAGGGCGCGUAGGCGGUCAGCACAAGUCAGUUGUGAAAUCUCCGGGCUUAACUCGGAGAGGUCAACUGAUACUGUGCGACUAGAGUGCGGAAGGGGCAACUGGAAUUCUCGGUGUAGCGGUGAAAUGCGUAUAUAUCGAGAGGAACACCUGCGGCGAAGGCAGGUUGCUGGGCCGACACUGACGCUGAUGCGCGAAAGCCAGGGGAGCGAACGGGAUU
rnacentral:rRNA from 1 species